rnacentral:lncRNA from 1 species
CCGCUCUCAGUGCCAUCUCUGAUUUCGCACUGACCUCCAGUGGGCACAGGACAUGGUGACAUGUUUCUGGCCUCCAGUGCUACAGCUGCAACGUCAUCGUGGGCACGAAGCACGUGGAUGCAGGAUGCUCCAGCCCGGAGGUGGUCACCUGCUCCCACUCGCACCAGGGCUUCAAGCACCGAUUCUGCAUUAAAACGGAGAGCGGGACGUGUCGGCCUCCAGUUGCAUGGCCUUGGACACGCUGCAGUGUGCACGGAAAUACGGACUCGCUCCAGAAACAGCCUGCGAGUCUCCUGGGAUGGCCUGUGACAAAACCCAGUGGCAGGUGGUGCUGGGGAUCCUGCUGACCAGCGGCUGCGCCACGUCCCGCCACUGCCAGCAGCAGGAGCUGCCGGGCGUUCGAAUCCACUGCUGCGACACGGAUCUGUGCA